rnacentral:sRNA from 1 species
AGAAAGCGUUGCCGCAGGCAACGACCCGAAGGGCGAAGCGCGCAGCGCUGAGUCAUCCUUCCCCCAUAGGCA